UUUAGACAACGAGGAGAAAGCUUUGGAAGCUCUAAUGAUAGUAAACACAUUUGUUGUAUUUACUGGGAAGAUAAGACCGCAAAAGAUUUGGACAGAUUUGGCCUCAGACGAAAAACACUUAUAUAGAAUUAUAACUGAUAACACAAAUGAUGAAAAAUUCGUUAACGAGACAAAAGACUUCCUGAAAUUUUCUUGUCAAAAUUCAAGAUCGGAUUGUGGAAUAAGUAUGUAUCUGAACAAGAGCAGAUGUUACAAAUGUGUGACAUUUGUGGACGGAUCAAGAACACUGUGAGUCAGUUCUGCCUAAAUACCUGCCCAAAUUUCGAUCGUCACCUUGAUAAGCCAAAAGAUUGCCACUGUGAUAUGUUAGAUUGUGAGAACAGUUGCACGGACCCGUUGUUAUUUCAGCUGCUAAUCGUGUUGUUCACCGUUAUAUUAUUGGUACUUGGUGUGCCUUUGUCGUUGAUGAUGUUCAAACACUUUGAACCAUAUAAGAUACAGAUAAUCCAACUAUCAAUCAAGCUUUAUUUUUUACGAUCCCGAAUGAACGUUAAAUUGAUUAAAAAUAUGGAGUACAGCUAAAUUCGUUUAUUGUUU